UUUUAAUUUCAUGAUAAAGAAAAAAUGAUUAUUAUCAAUUUUGAUAUUUUUGAUUUAAUUUUUCAGUAUUUAAAGUAUUUUACAUUUUUUGUUUUGUUUAAUUGAAUAAUAAUUUCACUACAGUGUACAGUAUACAAAUUUCAAAUCUAAACAGUUCUCCUUAGAUGUGGUUUUUGUGCAAUGUAUAGACAAAGAAUUAAAAUCAUCGCAAAAAACAAGUUAAUAUCAUGCUAUCUACAACAAUUACAUACCUACUCAAUUCAUCUUUAGUCAGCAAGAUACAAUAAUUGACAUAGGCAUUUGUCCAGGACAAUAAGGAGAUUAUUCUGUUUUGAAAAAAGCUUUUUACUAACAAAUGUUAAGUUGUAAACUUACACAUC